UGAGGAAUAUUGGGUCAAUGGGCGGAAGCCUGAACCAGCCAUGCCGCGUGAAGGAAUAAGGCCCUAUGGGUCGUAAACUUCUUUUGGCGGGGAGCAAUAAGGUCUACGUGUAGACCGAUGAGAGUACUCGUUGAAUAAGCAUCGGCUAACUCCGUGCCAGCAGCCGCGGUAAUACGGAGGAUGCGAGCGUUAUCCGGAUUUAUUGGGUUUAAAGGGUGCGUAGGCUGUUUGUCAAGUCAGAGGUGAAAGGCCGCAGCUCAACUGUGGAAUUGCCUUUGAUACUGGCAGGCUUGAAUACUGUUGCCGUGGGAGGAAUGAGUAGUGUAGCGGUGAAAUGCAUAGAUAUUACUCAGAACACCGAUUGCGAAGGCAUCUCACGAAGCAGAGAUUGACGCUGAGGCACGAAAGCGUGGGGAUCAAACAGGAUUAGAUACCCUGGUAGU
rnacentral:rRNA from 1 species